UACGGAGGAUGCAAGCGUUAUCCGGAAUGAUUGGGCGUAAAGCGUCCGCAGGUGGCUUUGUAAGUCUGCUGUUAAAGAAUGAGGCUUAACCUUAUCAAGGCAGUGGAAACUACACAGCUAGAGUACGGUCGGGGUAGAAGGAAUUCCUGGUGUAGCGGUGAAAUGCGUAGAGAUCAGGAAGAACACCGGUGGCGAAAGCGUUCUGCUAGACCUGUACUGACACUGAGGGACGAAAGCUAGGGGAGCGAAUGGG
rnacentral:rRNA from 1 species